rnacentral:tRNA from 1 species
GGGCCAUUAGCUCAGCUGGUAGAGCAGGACACUCUUAAUGUCAAGGUCGAAGGUUCGAGUCCUUCAUGGCCCACCA